CACGUAGGGUGCGAGCGUUGUCCGGAAUUAUUGGGCGUAAAGAGCUCGUAGGCGGUGUGUCGCGUCGGCCGUGAAAACCUGCAGCUUAACUGUGGGCUUGCGGUCGAUACGGGCAUCACUGGAGUUCGGCAGGGGAGACUGGAAUUCCUGGUGUAGCGGUGAAAUGCGCAGAUAUCAGGAGGAACACCGGUGGCGAAGGCGGGUCUCUGGGUAGUAACUGACGCUGAGGAACGAAGCGUGGGUAGCGAACAGG
rnacentral:rRNA from 1 species